ACAAGGUCUCCGUAGGUGAACCUGCGGAGGGAUCAUUACAGAGACUCUGCCCUUUGGGUAGACCUCCCACCCUGUGUCGUUAUACCUUUGUUGCUUUGGCGGGCCGCGGGGCUCCGGCCCUGCCCCUGGCUCCGGCUAGGGCGCGCCCGCCAGAGGACUCGAAAACCUGAAUGUUAGUGUCGUCUGAGUACUAUAUAAUAGUUAAAACUUUCAACAACGGAUCUCUUGGUUCUGGCAUCGAUGAAGAACGCAGCGAAAUGCGAUAAGUAAUGUGAAUUGCAGAAUUCAGUGAAUCAUCGAAUCUUUGAACGCACAUUGCGCCCCUUGGUAUUCCGGGGGGCAUGCCUGUUCGAGCGUCAUUACAACCCUCAAGCUCAGCUUGGUCUUGGGCGUCACCGGUCCCCGGUGUGCCUUAAAAUCAGUGGCGGCGCCGUCUGGCUCUAAGCGUAGUACAUACUCUCGCUACAGACGCCCGGCGGAUGCUGGCCAGCAACCCCCAAUCUAUCAAGGUUGACCUCGGAUCAGGUAGGGAUACCCGCUGAACUUAAGCAUAUCAAUA
rnacentral:rRNA from 1 species